GGGGGUACUGGGAGCCGGUCGGGGAGGCCUGGGCCAGGUACUGGGAGGGGCUUGGGGGAGCACUGGGGGAAAUGGGAGGGAACUGGUGGUACUGGGAGCUCCGCUGGCACCAGGGCUCUGUCCCCAUGGCCCCGACUGUGCCGUGCUGCGGUGUCCCUGGUGUCACUGGCCUCCUUGGUAACAUCAGUGUUGCUUGUGUCCCCGGUGUCCCCCAUUGUCAGUUGAGUCCCCGGUGUCCCUGUUGUGAGUUGUGUCCCCAUUGUCACGGGCGUCCCUGUUGUUCCCAUUGUCCCCGUCGUCAGUGGUGUCCCCAGUGUCAUGGGUGUCCCUGUUGUCCCGGUCAUCCCCAGUGUCCCUGUUGUGCCUGGUGUCGGUUGUGUCCCCAGUGUCACAGGUGUCCCUGUUCCCAUCAUCCCCAGUGUCAGGGGUGUCCCUGGUGUCCCGGUCAUCCCCAGCGUCCCUGUUGUGCCUGGUGUCGGUUGUGUCCCCAGUGUCACGGGUGUCCCUGUUGUCCCAGUCGUCCCCAGCGUCCCUGUUGUGCCUGGUGUCGGUUGUGUCCCCAGUGUCACGGGUGUCCCUGUUGUCCCAGUCGUCCCCAGCGUCCCUGUUGUGCCUGGUGUCGGUUGUGUCCCCAGUGUCACGGGUGUCCCUGUUGUCCCAGUCGUCCCCAGCGUCCCUGUUGUGCCUGGUGUCGGUUGUGUCCCCAGAGUCACAGGUGUCCCUGUUCCCAUUGUCCCUGGUGUCAGUGGUGUCCCCAUUGUCACGGGUGUCCCUGGUGUCCCCAGCGUCCCUGUUGUGCCUGGUGUCGGUUGUGUCCCCAGUGUCAC
rnacentral:lncRNA from 1 species